UACAGAGGGUGCUAGCGUUGUUCGGAAUCAUUGGGCGUAAAGGGCGUGUAGGCGGUUUGUUAAGUCAUGUGUGAAAUCCCUCGGCUCAACCGGGGAACGACGCAUGAAACUGGCAAGCUAGAGUACCAAAGAGGGGGGUGGAAUUCCCGGUGUAGCGGUGAAAUGCGUAGAGAUCGGAAGGAACAUCUGUGGCGAAGGCGACUAUCUGGGCCAACACUGACACUGAGGCACGAAAGCGUGGGGAGCAAACAGG
rnacentral:rRNA from 1 species